GCACGAAGACGUCGCCUCGAUCUAUCGCGCGCGAUCCUAAUCUUUCUUAAAUCAUAUUUAAUACGAUUCCCGGCCCCCGUACCGACAGUUCCACGACCACAUAUACAAUAUAUAUUCUCUGCCGAUUGAACGGCCGCGGUGGUUCUCGAUUUUAUUGCGUUCGAUUCCAGCCACCCUUCCGUUACGAGAUUGGAACGGACAAAAAGAAUUCUUUUCGUAUAAAAUACCAGAACCUUGGAUUAAUUACAAACUUCGAAGAAAGCGAGAGAAAGUACGGAGGCACUUCGUGACAGACCCAAAGUUCGAGACCUCGGUAAAAAGAACUGAAAUUCCGUGGAUGCCGCUGGAUGUCGAAAAUGAACAUGAGUCGAAACACAAGGAGGGAGAUGUGUCAUGAUCAAGUUCCGACUCCAAGUCAAAGAGGCAGCUAGAUCCUUCGAUCUACACGUGUACGUCGAUUAACGUAUGAGCUGGAACGGUUGUACGUGAACGAGGCAUCAAGAAUGGCAUUUCCGUUUGGCGAACGCGAUCGACCAUUAAACUCAUCUGCAUAGGAUAAUCCCGUAUCUGAGGCAUCGGGGAUCGCGCACGGAUCGGAAAGAUUAAUAUCAGACGAUUUACUAACGAUUGCACUUUCCACUCGCCCUUGCUCGACUAUCGACGUUUUAAUUAGAGGGAUACGCCCGAGAUCCUGAAGAGAUAAUUAUACCGUUUUAACACUAUCUCCUUAGAUUAUCAUUCUAGAACAGUGCGCUGUACUCUGUAUUAAACUGUUCCAUACGGAGUGUAUUAAUCAAUUAAGGAUCGUCAAGAGUUUCUAAUAGAUACAAGGAACGUUCGAUAAACAUUUUCCUUUUCUAUUUUUCAGGCUAUUUAAAAUAUACGAAUCGCGAUUAAACAGUCUCUGUCAAUAUACCGAGGGUAAAAUUAGAUUAUAAAGGAUUCUGGGACAGGGAACGUGAUUAGAGAAAUCUCGUUCAUUCGUAGCUGUACUUGAAGCAAUAUUGAAAGAAAAUAUUUGAUGUGGAACGGUCACUUUCUUGGAACCUUUCUUCUUCCGUCGCUUUGGAGAAAGUCCAACCUUCGGCGACGAAGUAAAAAAGUGCAGAGGACAGGGACGAACUGGCUGAUCAAAGAGGCUCGCGACGAGUUCAUUGAAAAUAGAAUGGAAACGUGUGCGCGCGGAGAUCAUGCCGCGACGUUCGAUCUUCGACCGGUUCGAUCGUCCGCGGGGAACGGUGUUACGUAACUCGUUCCACGAGUCGCGAUUUUCAGCCACGCGGGUCGAUCGGCAUCGAAACGCGCGAGAGACACCCCCGUGUCGAGUCAUGAAUAUUUAUGAGGCUGCAAACGAUUUAUUUUUCACGCGGAAAUAUUUAUUAACGGGACACGCUCCGCGGCCUUCUCACAAAAAGCCUCGCGGGUUAAUUGGUAGUCGGCAGUUGUUCAAAACCUGACGCUCGAUAAAUCACGAGUUUUGUACGAUUCAAUUUGCUCCGAGAAUAUUUGUCGAGAUAAGCUUUAUUAAUCAAUCAUCGUUAUUCGAGAAAAUGUUGGAUCGUCAGCUCGGAGUACUGUUAAUAUAAUACUGUGAAAUGUAUUAUUACUUAAAAAGGAAUAGAAGUGACUCAAUGAUUAAUUACAAACACGUAUCGUCGUUUAGGAAAAUUUCAGCAAACGAUCGUUUUAUCCUCCUUUGGUGUGACGAGGAGGCAACAGUCACAGACACAAGUAAAUGAAAAUAUAAAAGGGUUAAAAGCAACACCGGAAGAGAGUCGAAAAUAGAAUAGUUAGUCACUGAGUCGAGUGGUGUGCUGUGUCUAUUGGCAAGCCACAGGUAUUUUGGCAAGAUACAUACAAAUCGUGAUUAAAUCAUUCAAGCACAAUGUUGCUCCGUCAAGUAACGAAAGAAAAAAAGAAUCCUAAUUCUAAAUAGAUAUGCUUAAUUACGUAAAAUGUUUCAGGCGAUUAAACAUCAUUCCAGUAACAAGAACCAUUCUAAUGCUUUAAUUCUAAUGCUUAAUUCAUAUGUUCCUAAGAAGUGUUAUAAAACAUUGUAAUAGAUUCUUCUAAUGUCACAGGAAUUUCGUUAUUCAGGUUUACGUAAGAGAGGACAUUGAAGUUCUGUCGUUAGGAGAGCUUACGACUGCGACGUCGUCAGAAAAGAAGUUCGAGCAAAGUUAAACGUUUAUCCUCGUUUCAAAAAAGAAACUUUGAUCGGUCGGCGUGAAUUUAGAGCCGAGAUCAACGAGCGGGACUCUAUCGAAGUUUCAAAGGUUAACGUGGACUACUUAAGAAGAGGUACAUGUACUAGGCAGCGCAUAUUCUUGGAUCAGCUCUCUCGGCCCCAGUCGCAGACCUGAUCGCAUUCUACUGUUAAUUUCGCCGAUUCAAAUCCGGUCGUCAAGACAAACACUUUCUCGCCAGCGCGAUCAGUUUUCUCCUUUUUCAACUGUUAUGCUACUCAUUUUAUAUUACUUGUCAUACGAAACGUCCUGCUCGUGCCAUUUUAUGAUUCUAAUAAUGUAUAAAUUCUAUU